rnacentral:misc_RNA from 1 species
CUCAAAGUGUCACCCCGCCAAGUUCAAAUGCUACUGCCAUGUAUACAAAAAAGCACACAAGCCCUUCUGUUUGAAUAGUAGCACUACAUGUUUUAUGUUACUUAUUGACAAGUUUGAAAUUGUAACUGUGUUAUUGUCCUUGAUAUUCCUUUCUGUAAUUCAUUUUCAGUCUUCGCUGGGCUGUUACUGAUGUAAAUUCCCUAUAAUGUACUUAACGCAUGUUUUUAUGUUAAAACCAUAAUUUUUUUUUUUUUGAUUAAAAAAA